rnacentral:misc_RNA from 1 species
GAAAUGCGAUAAGUAAUGUGAAUUGCAGAAUUCAGUGAAUCAUCGAAUCUUUGAACGCACAUUGCGCCCGCCAGUAUUCUGGCGGGCAUGCCUGUCCGAGCGUCAUUUCAACCAUCAAGCCCCCGGGCUUGUGUUGGGGACCUGCGGCUGCCCGCAGGCCCUGAAAACCAGUGGCGGGCUCGCUGUCACACCGAGCGUAGUAGCAAUCACCUCGCUCAGGGCGUGCUGCGGGUUCCGGCCGUUAAACAGCCUUACAAAACCCAAGGUUGACCUCGGAUCAGGUAGGAAGACCCGCUGACCUUAAGC